rnacentral:rRNA from 1 species
GACGAACGCUGGCGGCGUGCUUAACACAUGCAAGUCGAACGGAAAGGCCCUGCUUUUGUGGGGUGCUCGAGUGGCGAACGGGUGAGUAACACGUGAGUAACCUGCCCUUGACUUUGGGAUAACUUCAGGUAACUGGGGCUAAUACCGGAUAGGAGCUCCUGCUGCAUGGUGGGGGUUGGAAAGUUUCGGCGGUUGGGGAUGGACUCGCGGCUUAUCAGCUUGUUGGUGGGGUAGUGGCUUACCAAGGCUUUGACGGGUAGCCGUCCUGAGAGGGUGACCGGCCACAUUGGGACUGAGAUACGGCCCAGACUACUACGGGAGGCAGCAGUGGGGAAUAUUGCACAAUGGGCGGAAGCCUGAUGCAGCAACGCCGCGUGCGGGAUGACGGCCUUCGGGUUGUAAGCCGCUUUCGCCUGUGACGAAGCGUGAGUGACGGUAAUGGGUAAAGAAGCACCGGCUAACUACGUG